rnacentral:tRNA from 1 species
CAGGUCAUAGCUAAAAUAUCUAUAGCAACUCCCUUACACUGAGUAGUUAUCCGUUCAAAUCGGAUUGCCCUGA